rnacentral:tRNA from 1 species
UGGUAAAGAAAGGAGUUAAACCAAUGUGAGUAGGACUACAGACUACCGCUUACCGUUCAGCCACUUUACCU